rnacentral:rRNA from 1 species
UACGUAGGGGGCAAGCGUUAUCCGGAAUUACUGGGCGUAAAGCGCACGCAGGCGGUUCGCCAAGUUUGGAGUGACAGUUGUCGGCUUAACCGACAAAGGACUUCAAAAACUGGUGAACUUGAGGACGAGAGAGGAACAUGGAACUCCAGGUGUAGUAGUGAAAUGCGUAGAUAUCAUUUGGAACGCCAAUGGUGAAAACAGCUCGCUGGGGAUGUACUGACGCUGAGACACGAAAGCCAGGGGAGCAAACGGG